AGCGCAGUCAACCCAGGCAGGAAGCGUGCAGAAAGUCCAGUUUAGCCCUUUGAGAGUGUUCCCUAUAACUUGGAUAUAGUUUAUCCCCUGAAGUCCAUGUUCUAGAAACUGGAUGGCCACGAGAGGUGAGUGGCCCUUUAAGGGGUGGGACUAGUGGAAGUGAGUAUGCCCUGGGGUGCCACCCCUGGAAGUCAUUGGUACAUUCUCAUUGGGUUAGGUCACUGAAGUAAGUCAGAGCUCCCGGGAUGAUCAUUGCUCAUUUCUGGUGAGGUGUUGUGGAGUCAGCUUCCUCAGGUCACUCUCUCGUCUCUGACCAUGUGAUCUCCUCCACACACAGACUGCUCCAUGACGUUAGGGCCGUUUGCCAGAUGUCAGGGCCAUGGUGUUUGGAACUUCUGGCUACCAGAAUCCUGAGCCAAGACAGCUUCUUCAUAAAGACCCCAAUGUUAGGCAUUUUGCUAUAGCAACACAAAAGCUUUAUACUGCUUUUGGUUUGUUUUGAGAGUCAGGGUCUCUAUGUAUUUGAAACUGGCUUUGGACUUUCUGUGUACCUGAAGAUGACCCUGAACUUCCGCUCUUGCUGCUUCUACCUCCAGACCUUAGAGGCAUAUGACUCUGCACCUGGUUUAUGUAGUACUGAGGGAACCUGAACCCAGGCCUCAAGCCUGUUAAGCAAGCACUGUAACAGCCCAGCAACAAACAGCAGGGACUCCUGCAGACAGGGUGGAAAGAAUGAAGGACCCAGGAAGGGUGGAGUGCCGAGGAAUGCUGUCCUCCAGGCAAGACUGUCACUCCCGUCACAGCAGCCGGGAUCACCUGCGCGAUGUGCACCGGCACUGGACCCUUCAGUGUCCUGCACGAACAGGAGGGGACAGACUAGAGAUCACAUAUGCUGCUGGGAAGAUAAAACCGGUGGGGAAGGUCCCAAAGAAAGCAGAAAAGUGGGCAUCAAAACACAAAAAUCUAGCAUGCCACAUGAGGCAGCUGGGUCAGAAGCUCACCUUCUAGCUCCCUGUCUUCUGUCAAAGGCUCUCACAGCUGCGCUUUCCUCCUCCCUGGAUCUGCUACAACAGUUUACUAGGUCAGAAAUGGGAAACUUUCAAUUUAUUAUUAUUAUAUUAUUAUUAUUAUUUUUAGACAGGGUCAUUUAGUCCAAGCUGGCCUUUGAACUCACUCUGUAGCUUAGACAGUUGCUUCAGCCUCGCAAAGUGCUGGAUUCCAGGUGUGGCCACUCCAGUGUGACAUGGUAAACUCACAAAGUGAAGCAAACCUGGGAGGGACUUCAUACUUACCUCAUUUCAUCUCAUUUUAUAGAAGAGGAAAUUGAGGUGAGAGGGUUUGACUUUUAAAAGGCUAUACAGUGAACCAGACUGAGGCACAGUGCAGGCUCUGUCUUGCGCAGCCAGUUGCAUCCGGACUCCUCCUUGUGAAAGUUAAUGAUUAGAACCUAGUCAGAGCUACAGCAUUGUAACCAUAGUUACUAAUUAAGCCAAGUUCACCGAGAAGAGCCAUUCCAAACAGGAAUGGAAUGUUCUACAGACAAUCUCAGGACUUCAGAAUAUGGUAGUGUAACCCAUUCAAUUAUCAUGGAACCCACUCAUACCCUAACCUCUCUAGGGUUCCAUUUUCUCCUCACUGCAUGCCGCAUGCAAGGCCUGGAUGAAGCUUUUGGGAGGAGGCAUUCAACUGAAAAAACUUGCCCUAGUGUUUGAGUGAAGUGGGUAAUACAGUCUGCUACUGUGUUUGCUGUCUCCAGAUAGGGCUGUAAUUACACCACACAAGGGGGAUGGCGACUGAGUCUCAAUCGAGAUCAUUUAUGUAAACUUAGCCUCCUUGUCAACAGUAUGGUCAUAUUGCAUUUGUGCAAACCACAGAAACCAUCUCCCGUGAACCACACAGAGACAGUGUCCGAUUGCAGCCUGUGUGAUUGCUUAUGCUCUUUCUGUAACUCUGUCUGUAGCUCAAGACCAAAAGUUGACGUUCUGAGGCUAAAAUAGAACUCCCACCAAUGAAGUCCCACCACAAUAAUUUCAUUUCUGAAAGCUGUAAAAGCCAGAGGUGGUCCCCAAAUCAAAGCAUCAUAAGCGAAUGCACUGUAUUUGAAAUAAAAAACUGGCCUUUGAAAUGUGCCUUGUUUGUUUUUGAGACAAGAUUUCUCUGUGUAGCCCUGGCUGUCCUAGAAUUCAUGCUGUAGACUAAGAUGGCUUUGAACUCUGAACUCCACCUGCCUCUGCCUCCCAAGAGCUGGGAUUAAAGGUGUGCACCACCAGGCUUGGCUUGAAAUGUGUCCUAGACUUGAUCUUUAAGAAAGAAAGGCAGCCAAUUUCUGAUACAAUUGAAUCAACACCUGGUAACACUUUAAUAUUCAACUUCAAGUAUGGCAACUGCCUAACAUUUUCCCACUCCCAAAUCUGAUAAAAACCUCCAUGUACAAGCCUCUCACAUUACACCCACAGAGGCAUGAUUCUGAGACAGCAAGCAAGCCUAUUUUUGCAUAACUCAUAGAAGAACGAUUCUCCACUACAAUGGACUGGUCAUCAGGUUCUGAUGUAUCCUCCCUGGCUGGCAUCCAGUGUUUCUCUUGACACCUGCAGCUCCAGCUUGAUCUGUCCUCUUCAGAAGGAAAACCACAGCUAUUGCCCUGGCGCCAUCCCUGGCUUGGUCCAAUCAAUAAGGACUUAUUUCCUGUGCAUUUGCUGAGGUCACGGGAGUGAGUCUCAUUAAUUAUUUCUGUUGCUGCAGCCUCAAGUGUGCUUUGGUGUGACAAGUGAAAACUGUGUGACCUUUUUUUCCUUCUCAUUUUGUUUGUAAUGGUUCCAAAAUGAUAGAUUCAUUAAGCAACGAGAUAAAAGAACAGAAAAAAAAAUAUGUAUGUUUUUAAAAUCAUUAACAUAUUGGUUAUCUCAUCAUAAAAGCUCUCCUGUCCAUCCCAUUCUCUGGGUUUUUCAGCUAAGGAACAAUAGUGUCUUUUUAAUUUGGUGUCAUGAAAAUCUGGUCACAGCAAACACAAUGUUUUCUAAAGCCGAUCUGGCCUCUGAGGGAGGGAAGCUCUCCAGGGCCUCCAGUGCCUUGUUUCCAUGGUAACGACACAGGUCAAUAGCUGAAGUCACACCUUUGCCAGCUUUGAUUGUUUCUCGCAACUGUUAAGAAAUAAAAGCACAAUAAAUCAGUUUUUGGUUGUACAGUAAGGACCACAAUUUAACUGGGGGUAUGCUGGAAACAAUGGCAGGGACAGAUGUGGACCCAGCAUCUCUGCUCUCUCACAUGGAGGAAAGAGGCCAUAUUUCAGCACCAUCCCCUAAGGCUACAGGAGUGUGCUCCAGAGCCACACAAUAGGCUCCAAUCAGCCCAAUUACAGCCCCUCCCACACCCACCCCUUGAUCUGCUGAAAGUGCCGUGCUGAACAGUCAGCCAGCAGAAGGCCAAGCAGAGAUUCUCUGGAACUCACAAUUCAGCAGCCUGAUUCUUUAUUCCAGGAAGCCUCCACUAACAUAUUCAUUCAAACUUAAAUUAAAACAACAACAACAACCUCAUGUUGACACAGUAAUCGAAAUGCAAAUUUAAGAAAGACAUAUUAUUAAACCUAUGACUUCUUUAAAAUCAGAAUAUUUUACUUGGGAAGAAUGAAACAAAGAAAGCAUUUUGUAAAGAAUAAAAUAAACUCUCACUAACCAACAAAUUGACUUACAAUUUCUCUCUGUGAUUAUAAGAAAGGACCAGGGGGGUCAGAAGGAGUGGCUGUUAACAUCCAGGGACACCUUGGGGACCUGGUGAGCUACCCCUGCAUGCAUGGCAAGCAGCACCCUGACUCUAGCAGGCCAGGCACAAAAGGUCCCUUUGCAAUAAGCUCCGCCCACUCCAACUCUCUUUGUCAUUCCUCUGAAGAGGGAGGCAGCUCUGUCUCCUUUCUACUCCCUUCCCUUUCCCUAAUAAACUUCCCACAUAAGUUCUGCUUGAUGGUGUGUUUGGCAAUCCUUAGUGGAUCGACAUGGGAUCCACUAAGGUCCCACUCAUCGCAUAUCAGAGGCAGGUGGAUUUCUGUGAGUUUGAGGCCAACCUGAACUACAUGGCCAAACCUAUUUCAAACACAAACCAACAAACAAAAAACAAAAGGAUGGGGUAUAGAUCUGGCCCAGCUUGGCCUGCUCCUCAGAGAAUCUGAGUUCGGUUCCGAGCACAUUGUUGGGUGGCUCACACCAGCUUAAUUCCAUCUCCAGGGGGAUCUUGCUUCCACAGGCAACUGCACCCAUGUGUACAGACCCAUACACAGGAUAAAAUUCUUUUAAAAAAUCAAACAAAUGAUUAUGAUUUAGAGCUGGAAAAGGUGUCAUCUUUUGACCUUAAAUUACUUUGUCCCAGUUUGAUAGUCUUCUCAGUGAACACUUUGAAGGUAUCUCUCAUUCCCUCUGUCGGAUAUCAGGCAGUCUCAGACUAGCUCACCAGAGGCUGGACCCUUUGACCCCUACAGCCUGGGUGGGGCCAGGUACAAGACCCAGUUUAUGAGGCAGGGAAAAUGCACACUCCUUAUGGCUGUAGCAAGGAGUUGUCCCUGCGAUCCCUCUAGGGCUUUCCCUCUGCCACUGGGGACAGCCUCAUAGAGAUACUCUUCAGCCUGGAUACCUGAGUCACAGCAGUGAGUACUGUGUGUCUCUCCUGCCUGGGGCAGAUGUGGGCAGUUUCUUUUUUUUCAGAGACAGGGUUUCUCUGUGUAGCCCUGGCUAUCCUGUAACUCAUUCUGUAGAUCAGGCUGACCUGGAACUGAGGCCUGCCGAGUGCUGGGACACAGUCAGUGAACCCUCAUUCAUGCUGCUCUCGGAUUUACCCUUUGUUCUUUUCUACUGUGCUACUAGCCCCCAGAUAUGUUAUAUUUCACAAUGACCUCCUAAAGAGCCCAAACCACCCUGCACCCCCAUACCACACCCACCAUGCCACACUGUAAGAUUGGCAAUUUAUACUAUAUUGCAGAUACAGUCUUGUCCAGAAUCCGUCACUGCUUCCCAGCAGUGGUAGCAGUCCAAGCUGUUUCAGGAAGAAUGUAUGGAAGUCCUCUCUCUUGCUCUUACCCAGCUUCAUUUUCUCCCUUCCUGCCUUUGCUCAUUAUUAAGGAAAAUUACUUGCAUUUUUUAGAGCUGACACAGGGCUCUCCUGGGGUCAUCUUUCCAAGUUUAGUAAGCUCCCCAGAUCUCACCUGGAUAGGAGGCACUCUGCUAGCGAGGAUGAUGGCACUAGGAGCUAGCUGCUCUUCUAGACUCUCAGAUUAUCCUGGUUCUUCUGGAGGGCAGUAUUGUUGCACAGUGUUGUCUUUUUUUAUGUUCUCUCACUGACAUCCUUGUGAGACUUUACGCUACAUACUGUAUAAUUCAUGAAACAUGAAUAAAAAAUAUAUGCUGGUUUA